rnacentral:rRNA from 1 species
AAAUUGAAGAGUUUGAUCAUGGCUCAGAUUGAACGCUGGCGGCAGGCCUAACACAUGCAAGUCGAACGGUAACAGGAAGCAGCUUGCUGCUUCGCUGACGAGUGGCGGACGGGUGAGUAAUGUCUGGGAAACUGCCUGAUGGAGGGGGAUAACUACUGGAAACGGUGGCUAAUACCGCAUAACGUCGCAAGACCAAAGAGGGGGACCUUCGGGCCUCUUGCCAUCAGAUGUGCCCAGAUGGGAUUAGCUAGUUGGUGAGGUAACGGCUCACCAAGGCGACGAUCCCUAGCUGGUCUGAGAGGAUGACCAGCCACACUGGAACUGAGACACGGUCCAGACUCCUACGGGAGGCAGCAGUGGGGAAUAUUGCACAAUGGGCGCAAGCCUGAUGCAGCCAUGCCGCGUGUAUGAAGAAGGCCUUCGGGUUGUAAAGUACUUUCAGCGGGGAGGAAGGUGUUGUGGUUAAUAACCGCAGCAAUUGACGUUACCCGCAGAAGAAGCACCGGCUAACUCCGUGCCAGCAGCCGCGGUAAUACGGAGGGUGCAAGCGUUAAUCGGAAUUACUGGGCGUAAAGCGCACGCAGGCGGUCUGUCAAGUCGGAUGUGAAAUCCCCGGGCUCAACCUGGGAACUGCAUUCGAAACUGGCAGGCUUGAGUCUUGUAGAGGGGGGUAGAAUUCCAGGUGUAGCGGUGAAAUGCGUAGAGAUCUGGAGGAAUACCGGUGGCGAAGGCGGCCCCCUGGACAAAGACUGACGCUCAGGUGCGAAAGCGUGGGGAGCAAACAGGAUUAGAUACCCUGGUAGUCCACGCCGUAAACGAUGUCUACUUGGAGGUUGUGCCCUUGAGGCGUGGCUUCCGGAGCUAACGCGUUAAGUAGACCGCCUGGGGAGUACGGCCGCAAGGUUAAAACUCAAAUGAAUUGACGGGGGCCCGCACAAGCGGUGGAGCAUGUGGUUUAAUUCGAUGCAACGCGAAGAACCUUACCUGGUCUUGACAUCCACGGAAGUUUUCAGAGAUGAGAAUGUGCCUUCGGGAACCGUGAGACAGGUGCUGCAUGGCUGUCGUCAGCUCGUGUUGUGAAAUGUUGGGUUAAGUCCCGCAACGAGCGCAACCCUUAUCCUUUGUUGCCAGCGGUUAGGCCGGGAACUCAAAGGAGACUGCCAGUGAUAAACUGGAGGAAGGUGGGGAUGACGUCAAGUCAUCAUGGCCCUUACGACCAGGGCUACACACGUGCUACAAUGGCGCAUACAAAGAGAAGCGACCUCGCGAGAGCAAGCGGACCUCAUAAAGUGCGUCGUAGUCCGGAUUGGAGUCUGCAACUCGACUCCAUGAAGUCGGAAUCGCUAGUAAUCGUGGAUCAGAAUGCCACGGUGAAUACGUUCCCGGGCCUUGUACACACCGCCCGUCACACCAUGGGAGUGGGUUGCAAAAGAAGUAGGUAGCUUAACCUUCGGGAGGGCGCUUACCACUUUGUGAUUCAUGACUGGGGUGAAGUCGUAACAAGGUAACCGUAGGGGAACCUGCGGUUGGAUCACCUCCUUACCUUAAAGAA